rnacentral:rRNA from 1 species
UACAGAGGUCUCAAGCGUUGUUCGGAUUCAUUGGGCGUAAAGGGUGCGUAGGUGGCGCCGUAAGUCGGGUGUGAAAUUUCGGAGCUUAACUCCGAAACUGCAUUCGAUACUGCGGUGCUUGAGGACUGGAGAGGAGACUGGAAUUCAUGGUGUAGCAGUGAAAUGCGUAGAUAUCUGGAGGAACACCGGUGGCGAAGGCGGCAUCCUGGACCGAAAUUGACGCUGAGGCGCGAAAGCCAGGGGAGCAAACGGG